rnacentral:rRNA from 1 species
AUUAGCUAGUUGGUGGGGUAAUGGCCUACCAAGGCGACGAUCUUUAGCUGGUCUGAGAGGAUGAUCAGCCACACUGGGACUGAGACACGGCCCAGACUCCUACGGGAGGCAGCAGUGGGGAAUAUUGGACAAUGGGCGCAAGCCUGAUCCAGCCAUGCCGCGUGAGUGAUGAAGGCCUUAGGGUUGUAAAGCUCUUUCACCGAUGAAGAUAAUGACGGUAGUCGGAGAAGAAGCCCCGGCUAACUUCGUGCCAGCAGCCGCGGUAAUACGAAGGGGGCUAGCGUUGUUCGGAUUUACUGGGCGUAAAGCGCACGUAGGCGGUUUGUUAAGUCAGAGGUGAAAUCCCGGAGCUCAACUCCGGAACUGCCUUUGAUACUGGCAAGCUAGAGUCCGGAAGAGGUAAGUGGAACUCCUAGUGUAGAGGUGGAAUUCGUAGAUAUUAGGAAGAACACCAGUGGCGAAGGCGGCUUACUGGUCCGGAACUGACGCU